UACGAAGGGGGCUAGCGUUGCUCGGAUUGACUGGGCGUAAAGGGCGCGUAGGCGGCUUGUACAGUCAGACGUGAAAUUCCUGGGCUCAACCUGGGGGCUGCGUUUGAUACGUAUGGGCUUGAGUUCGGAAGAGGGUCGUGGAAUUCCCAGUGUAGAGGUGAAAUUCGUAGAUAUUGGGAAGAACACCGGUGGCGAAGGCGGCUCACUGGCCCGGUACUGACGCUGAUGUGCGAAAGCGUGGGGAGCAAACAGG
rnacentral:rRNA from 1 species